UACGUAGGGGGCGAGCGUUGUCCGGAUUUAUUGGGCGUAAAGAGCUCGUAGGUGGUUUGGUAAGUCGGAUGUGAAAUCUCCAGGCUCAACCUGGAGGGGUCAUUCGAUACUGCCAUGACUAGAGUUCGGUAGGGGAGUGUGGAAUUCCUGGUGGAGCGGUGAAAUGCGCAGAUAUCAGGAGGAACACCUGUGGCGAAAGCGGCAUACUGGACCAUAACUGACGCUGAGGCGCGAAAGCUAGGGGAGCAAACAGG
rnacentral:rRNA from 1 species